rnacentral:rRNA from 1 species
GUCGAACGAUGAAACCGCUUCGGUGGUGGAUUAGUGGCGAACGGGUGAGUAACACGUGGGCAAUCUGCCCUUCACUCUGGGACAAGCCCUGGAAACGGGGUCUAAUACCGGAUAACACUCUGUCCCGCAUGGGACGGGGUUGAAAGCUCCGGCGGUGAAGGAUGAGCCCGCGGCCUAUCAGCUUGUUGGUGGGGUAAUGGCCUACCAAGGCGACGACGGGUAGCCGGCCUGAGAGGGCGACCGGCCACACUGGGACUGAGACACGGCCCAGACUCCUACGGGAGGCAGCAGUGGGGAAUAUUGCACAAUGGGCGAAAGCCUGAUGCAGCGACGCCGCGUGAGGGAUGACGGCCUUCGGGUUGUAAACCUCUUUCAGCAGGGAAGAAGCGAAAGUGACGGUACCUGCAGAAGAAGCGCCGGCUAACUACGUGCCAGCAGCCGCGGUAAUACGUAGGGCGCAAGCGUUGUCCGGAAUUAUUGGGCGUAAAGAGCUCGUAGGCGGCUUGUCACGUCGGAUGUGAAAGCCCGGGGCUUAACCCCGGGUCUGCAUUCGAUACGGGCUAGCUAGAGUGUGGUAGGGGAGAUCGGAAUUCCUGGUGUAGCGGUGAAAUGCGCAGAUAUCAGGAGGAACACCGGUGGCGAAGGCGGAUCUCUGGGCCAUUACUGACGCUGAGGAGCGAAAGCGUGGGGAGCGAACAGGAUUAGAUACCCUGGUAGUCCACGCCGUAAACGUUGGGAACUAGGUGUUGGCGACAUUCCACGUCGUCGGUGCCGCAGCUAACGCAUUAAGUUCCCCGCCUGGGGAGUACGGCCGCAAGGCUAAACUCAAAGGAAUUGACGGGGGCCCGCACAAGCAGCGGAG